AACGAACGCUGGCGGCAUGCCUAACACAUGCAAGUCGAACGAGAUCUUCGGGUCUAGUGGUGCACGGGUGCGUAACGCGUGGGAAUCUGCCCUUUGGUUCGGAAUAACAGUUGGAAACGACUGCUAAUACCGGAUGAUGACGAAAGUCCAAAGAUUUAUCGCCAGGGGAUGAGCCCGCGUAGGAUUAGCUAGUUGGUGUGGUAAAGGCGCACCAAGGCGACGAUCCUUAGCUGGUCUGAGAGGAUGAUCAGCCACACUGGGACUGAGACACGGCCCAGACUCCUACGGGUGGCAGCAGUGGGGAAUAUUAGACAAUGUGCGACAGCCUGAUCCAGCAAUGCCGCGUGAGUGAUGAAGGCCUUAGGGUUGUAAAGCUCUUUUACCCGGGAUGAUAAUGACAGUACCGGGAGAAUAAGCUCCGGCUAACUCCGUGCCAGCCGCCGCGGUAA
rnacentral:rRNA from 1 species